AUUGAACGCUGGCGGAAUGCUUUACACACGCAAGUCGAGCGGCAGCGCGGGGCAACCUGGCGGCGAGCGGCGAACGGGUGAGUAAUGUAUCGGAACGUGUCCUGUCGUGGGGGAUAGCCCGGUGAAAACCGGAUUAAUACCGCAUACGAUCGAGAGAGGAAAGAGGGGGACGGCAAGGCCUCACGCGAUAGGAGCGGCCGAUAUCUGAUUAGCUAGUUGGUGGGGUAAAGGCCCACCAAGGCUUCGAUCAGUAGCUGGUCUGAGAGGAUGAUCAGCCACACUGGGACUGAGACACGGCCCAGACUCCUACGGGAGGCAGCAGUGGGGAAUUUUGGACAAUGGGGGCAACCCUGAUCCAGCCAUUCCGCGUGAGUGAAGAAGGCCUUCGGGUUGUAAAGCUCUUUUGUCCGGGAAGAAACGGUUUUGGCUAAUAACCAAGACUACUGACGGUACCGGAAGAAUAAGGACCGGCUAACUACGUGCCAGCAGCCGCGGUAA
rnacentral:rRNA from 1 species